UUCCACCAUUCCCAUUAUACCCCUACAAAACAAAGCCGAGAUUUCCACUUCCAAGGACAAAACAGUCACAAAUAUAAGAAACCAAAACCAGCUGGCACAAAUCGAUCCCAACCUCUUUUUCCUCCUCUCUGUCUUCAUAAGCUAUCAGAUACAUCAUUUGUUCCCAAUCGCAUUCACAAUCUCUCUUACAUAUAUAAAACCCUCUUUUACAAAUUUCUCACAUCAAUUUUCUUCCCGCUCUAUCACACUCCUCUUCAAUCCCUUUCAAUUUUGAUUACAUCUCUCAAAAAAUCCAUAAAUAACAAACCCUAA